CAAUAGCGUAUAUUAAAGUUGUUGCAGUUAAAAAGCUCGUAGUUGGAUUUCUGGCGGGAGCGACCGGUCACACACUCUGUGUGUGAACUUGCGUUGUCUCUGGCCAUCCUUGGGAAGAUCCUGUUUGGCAUUAAGUUGUCGGGCAGGGGAUACCCAUCGUUUACUGUGAAAAAAUUAGAGUGUUUAAAGCAGGCUUAUGCCGUUGAAUAUAUUAGCAUGGAAUAAUAAGAUAGGACUUCGGAACUAUUUUGUUGGUUUGCGUUACGAAGUAAUGAUUAAUAGGGACAGUUGGGGGUAUUCGUAUUUCGUUGUCAGAGGUGAAAUUCUUGGAUUUCCGAAAGACGAACUACUGCGAAAGCAUUUACCAAGGAUGUUUUCAUUAA
rnacentral:rRNA from 1 species